UCCCACCUAUCCAGCCACCCUAUCCGCCGCCACCCCCAACCACCCCGUCGCAACCCACCCUGGAGCCCGGCCGUCGCGUCACCCCCUUGGGAGUGCAGCUCGCCACCCCUGGAUGAGCACCGUGCUCGCCUCCUGGAGCAUCGAUGGUGACGGUCUACCAGCCACUCCAUCCCUCCUCUUAUCUCCUCCUCGCCACUAGGCCCACCACGGGACUCGGCCGUCGUCUUCCCUCCCAACAACGCAUCCGGAGCGCUGCCGACGUUGGUAGAUGCUUCGGCGUCUGAGCUCCUGGCCGCUCGUGCGGCUUGGCGAGCUUCGGAAGUGAUGGCUGUCCUCGAGACCUUGAAGCUGGGUGCCAACAUCCCUCGGGAGGCUAAGUCCUGCAUCUGCGUCAUGCAUGGCGGCAGCAGCAGGCGUUUGUCUCGACGUUUUCAAGUCUGCAUCUGCGUUAGCAGGCGAGUAGAUUGAGGCCUUGUUUAGUUCCCAAAUUUUUUUUGGUCGGGAUACUGUAGCAGUUUCGUUUAUGUGCUUACAUAUACGAGUUUCUAUGGAUAGCAAUUAUGAUUUGGACUAAAUAAAUAAUAGAUUUCGUAAAUUGUUAUCAUGUGUUUUGAUUUUCUAUGCUUCUUGAGCCAACCGUGUAAUUAAGAAAUCAUCUGGAAUUCUAUACAUUGUUAGAGCACAUUUUAUACAUUGUUGAAACAUAAUUUUAUACAUUUAUAUAUUGUUGGAACUCAAUUUUAUAUGUCUUAUGCUUUUCAAUUUUCUAGUAUUUGCAUCAAUGCGAGUUUUUAUUCUAGCAUUAGUGAGUUUCUAUACAUACAUUCAAUUUUAUUUGACAAGAGGCUAAAAUUGCCUUUUUUUUUGUGAAACUACAUAUAUGAGCGUGGUGCCAAUUGGCGGUGGCGGAUUGGGGCGUGGACAACGUAAUGGCAUGGCACAGUCAAGGAUAUCUUCCACAUGUCCAUUUUUGAUUUUUAUACUUCUUGAGUCACAGUUUCUAUGUCAUGGAUUUUUAUGUUUUGAUUCAAUUUAGUGUCUAUGCAUUAUUCCUCUAUUAAUUGUAUGUCCCCAAAGUGACAAAAUGGUUUGAGUUGUGUUCGUCACGGUUUUUGGAUAAAUAAAUCUCCUAUAUGGGAGGGUUUUAUUAGGUUCUAUACAUUGUUUCUCUAUUAAUUAUACAUCCACACAAGUAGGAGGAAAAGUAAAAGUUUAUGUUGGGACCAUAAUACAUUUUUGUGCAUAUUUUAUACGUUGUUGGGUGGGUGCAGCCAGCUAGUCGAAGGAAUAAGUGAAUUUUUUAUGAACGUGAAUUAUGUUUUUUUGCUGUAUAAAAAUAUUUGUCACUGUAACUUGGUAUAUAUUGUUGGUAUACGAUUCUACGCAUUAUUGAUUUAUAAUUCUAUACAUUGUAAGAGCAAUUUUUAUGUGGUAAAAAAAAUAACUUUUAUUCACCGAAAUACUAAUUUCUAUGCAAUGCGAUAAAAACAUUUAUGCGCAUAUUGACUACUAAUUCUAUGGUGUGCGUAUGGGUAGUAAUGAUGGUGUUGUAAUCGGCCCCCAUACUAUGAAGCAUGAUGUUACAGAGAAUAAUGAUUGUGUCAGGUGAAAUAUCCCAUCUUGUGGAGAGGUUUUUACGCAUCAAUAAAAAUUAUUGUUAUUUAUUCAACUACUAAUUUAUAUGCAAUGUAGCACUAAAAAUCUUUAUGCGCAUCUUGACUAUUGAUUCUAUGUACCUAAUCGGUAAGAGUUUUUGUGCGCCAUUGUAAGGGUUUUUGCGCCUGCUCAAAACAUGUUUCUAUGCCUUUGUUGUGGUGUAGGAUGGUCGAAAGGAUUCCACUAUUUGGCGUGAGGCCAAUGGUGGCUCGUCAUAGGACAUGGCUUGCGACGUCCGCAACUUCCUUGGCUUGUGACAAUGGCGUAGUUUGAUAUUUGAUAUAGUUGAUAGGUUAAUGUAAAAAGUUAGUUUUUCAUAUGUUGUGGUUAUAUGCUUGGAUGAUACGAGUGAAACUAUUGGUUUCUAUGUAACCUCUGUUGGGUUUCAAUAUUUGGUUGACUUAGUGUCUAUGCAUAUUAUGAGUUGAGAACAUUAUGGAUAGUCCACAUCUAGUGUGUAGUGUUUUGUAUGUUUCAUUCCCCUAGAGGGAAUUAUGGUGUAAGGUUUCUAUACAUUGUUUCUCUAUUAAAUAAACAUAUCUUGGUGCAAAGAAUGGUGUGAGUAUGGGUAGUGACGGUGUUGGUUGUAAUAGGCCCCUGUAGCAGGAAGCAUGAUGUUGUUACAGACAAUCAUGAUUGUGUUGUGGAAUGUCCAUCUUGUGGAGAGGUUUUUACGCAGCAAC
rnacentral:lncRNA from 1 species